UACGUAGGGACCAAGCGUUGUUCGGAUUUACUGGGCGUAAAGGGCGCGUAGGCGGCAAUUCAAGUCAGCUGUGAAAUCUCCGGGCUUAACUCGGAACGGUCAGCUGAUACUGCUUUGCUAGAGUGCAGAAGGGGCAAUCGGAAUUCUUGGUGUAGCGGUGAAAUGCGUAGAUAUCAAGAGGAACACCUGAGGUGAAGACGGGUUGCUGGGCCGACACUGACGCUGAGGCGCGAAAGCUAGGGUAGCAAACGGG
rnacentral:rRNA from 1 species